GACGAACGCUGGCGGCGUGCUUAACACAUGCAAGUCGAACGGAAAGGCCCUGCUUUUGUGGGGUGCUCGAGUGGCGAACGGGUGAGUAACACGUGAGUAACCUGCCCUUGACUUUGGGAUAACUUCAGGAAACUGGGGCUCAUACCGGAUAGGAGCUCCUGCUGCAUGGUGGGGGUUGGAAAGUUUCGGCGGUUGGGGAUGGACUCGCGGCUUAUCAGCUUGUUGGUGGGGUAGUGGCUUACCAAGGCUUUGACGGGUAGCCGGCCUGAGAGGGUGACCGGCCACAUUGGGACUGAGAUACGGCCCAGACUCCUACGGGAGGCAGCAGGGGGGAAUAUUGCACAAUGGGCGGAAGCCUGAUGCAGCAACGCCGCGUGCGGGAUGACGGCCUUCGGGUUGUAAACCGCUGUCGCCUGUGACGAAGCGUGAGUGACGGUAAUGGGUAAAGAAGCACCGGCUAACUACGUG
rnacentral:rRNA from 1 species